rnacentral:lncRNA from 1 species
AGAACUCAAAAAAAGAGGAGUGUCAUAUAACCUCAUGGCUGUGCCCAGCUUAUAUGUCACAAUCACCCCAGUGGGCAGGGCCCAGGCAUGAGAUCAGAGUCACAACAUGUAGGUGCUGGGCCAAGUGAUAUGUCACAAUGCCCACUGUAGACAGGUUCCAGGAAGAAAAGGAGCAUCACAUCAUCUAGGUGAUAAACCCUGAGAUAUCUCACAAUGACCCCUUUGUGCAGAGAUCACAAAGAAGAAUCAUAUAACCUGUGUGCUGGAUCCAGUGGUAUGAAAGUCAACACCUGUAUUUUGGGUCUAAGUACAUGAGACACAAUGGUGGACAAUCUAUACUGAGAGCCUCAAUUCUUCCUGUAGACAGUGUCUCCUCAGUGGAGUAAAAGCCUCACGGUGUGUUGAAUCUUGGUCUGAGAGUCGCCAACCCACUGGUGGACCGGAUCCACUUACAAGAGUCAAUGUUCAAACUUUCAACUGUCUCCAGCUGUGAGAUUCAGAACCUCAACAGUCACUUUACAACCUUGGAGAGGUCAUUUGACACCUCUGUGCCUCAGUUUCUUCAUCUGCAAAAUGGAGAUGGUGUCCCGGACUUUGCAGCACUAUUUUGAAGGUCAGAGAUAAUGGGUAUCAGCACUGCGCCUGGGACAUGGUAGGAACUAAGUGUGACACUCUAGGCCUCUCCCCAGUCCUCAGGAGCCUCAUCUACUGCUGCAUAUUAAGAUUCCCCACCCACGGCCGGGUGUGGUGGCUCACACCUGUAAUCCCAGCGCUUUGGGAGGCCAAGGUGGGAGGAUCA